GUGCUCACUUUGGCAGCACAUAUACUAAAAUUGGAAAUAUACAGAGAAGAUUGGCAUGGCCCCUGCACAAGGAUGACAUGCAAAUUCAUGAAACAUUCUGUAUUUUU
rnacentral:snRNA from 3 species